UUAGAGGAGAUGAAGGUUUUGGGUUGAGAGCCCUUUUGGGAUAUGUUGUUGACAGAAGAUAGAGAGCACAGAAGAUGAUGGGAUACAAUUGAUAGUAUCUCACUUCCUUUGUGCUCUCUAUGUUUCUGUCAUCACCUGUUCGGGCCUCUUCCAUCCUUCCUCUUUUUCGA
rnacentral:pre_miRNA from 1 species